ensembl:snRNA U1 U1 spliceosomal RNA
AUACUUAACCUGGCAAGGGAGGUACCAUUAUCAUGAAGGUGGUUUUCCCAGUGCGAGGCUUAUCUGUUGCACUCUGCAUGUGCAGAUCCCUGUGAUUUCCUCAAAUGCGGAAAAGUCCACUGCAUAAUUUGUGAUAGUGAGGGGCUGCUUUUGCGCUCA